AUACUUACCUGGCAGGGGAAGCAGCGUGACCACGUAGGUGAGCUCCCCAGGGUAAUUGUCUCUGAUAUGUCCUCCAUAGGAGGUCUAUAUUGAGCAGAUUCUUUUUGGUAUUGGGUGGUGGAACCGGAGCGUGCUCCAUCCACUC
rnacentral:snRNA from 1 species